AACGAACGCUGGCGGCAGGCUUAACACAUGCAAGUCGAACGCAUCCUUCGGGGUGAGUGGCAGACGGGUGAGUAACGCGUGGGAACAUGCCCUUUAGUUUGGAAUAACCCAGGGAAACUUGGGCUAAUACCGGAUACGCCCUACGGGGGAAAGAUUUAUCGCUGAAGGAGUGGCCCGCGUCUGAUUAGCUAGUUGGUGGUGUAACGGACCACCAAGGCGACGAUCAGUAGCUGGUCUGAGAGGAUGAUCAGCCACAUUGGGACUGAGACACGGCCCAAACUCCUACGGGAGGCAGCAGUGGGGAAUCUUGCGCAAUGGGCGAAAGCCUGACGCAGCCAUGCCGCGUGAAUGAUGAAGGUCUUAGGAUUGUAAAAUUCUUUCACCGGGGACGAUAAUGACGGUACCCGGAGAAGAAGCCCCGGCUAACUUCGUGCCAGCCGCCGCCGUAA
rnacentral:rRNA from 1 species